GAUGAACGCUAGCUACAGGCUUAACACAUGCAAGUCGAGGGACCGGCGCACGGGUGAGUAACACGUAUCCAACCUGCCCUUUACUCGGGGAUAGCCUUUCGAAAGAAAGAUUAAUACCCGAUGUAAAGGAUGGGGAUGCGUUCCAUUAGGUUGUUGGUGAGGUAACGGCUCACCAAGCCUUCGAUGGAUAGGGGUUCUGAUAGGAAGGUCCCCGCCAUGGGAACUGAGACACGGCCCAAACUCCUACGCGAGGCAGCAGGGAGGAAUAUUGGGCAAUGGGCGUUAGCCUGAACCCGCCAAGUAGCGUGAAGGAUGAAGGCUUAAGGGGCAUAAACUUCUUUUAUAUAAGAAUCUGUAUUAUAUGAAUAAGGAUCGGCUAACUCCGUGCCAGCAGCCGCGGUAAUAC
rnacentral:rRNA from 1 species